rnacentral:lncRNA from 1 species
CUUCCACUAUUACUAGCCUCUCUUGUGCCGCGCAACUUUUGCCGGUACCAUACACCCACCAUAUACCUUCCUCAAAACAGCCACCAUACCUACCUAUUAUGGCAUUUCCAUAGCCAUUCCAAGAUAUAUUGCCAUGCAACUUUCCACCGUUCCGUUCAUAUGACACGCAUUACUUUUGUCAUAUUGCUCUUUGCAUGAGCAUGCAGUUGACAUCAUAUUUGUGGCAAGGCCACUUUCAUAAUUUUCAUACAUGUCACUCUUGAUUCAUUGCAUAUCCCGGUACACCGCCGGAGGCAUUCAUAUAGAGUCAUAUCUUGUUCUAGCUUUGAGUUCUAAUUCUUGAGUUGUAAAUCCAUAAAAGUGUGAUGAUCUUUAUUAUUAGAGCAUUGUCCUAGUGAGGAAAGGAUGAUGAAGACUAUGAUUCCCCCACAAGUCGGGAUGAGACUUCGGACUUUACAAAAAGAAAAAAAAAGAAAGAAAAAAAGAAAAAGGCCAAAAAGAAAAAAAAGGCCAAAGAAAGAAAAGAAAAAAAAAGAAAGAAAAAAAAGAGAGAAAAAAAUAAAAUGAGAGAAAAAGAUAGAAGGGACAAUGCUACUAUCUCUUUUUCCACACUUGUGCUUCAAAGUAGCACCAUGAUCUUCGUGAUAGAGAGUCUCCUAUGUUGUCACUUUCAUAUACUAGUGAGAAUUUUUCAUUAUAGAACUUGGCUUGUAUAUUCCAAUGAUGGGCUUCCUCAAAAGUGCCCUAGGUCUUCGUGAGCAAGAAAGUUGGAUGCACACCCACUCAGUUUCUUAUGUUGAGCUUUCAUAUAUCUAUAGCUCUAGUGCAUCCGUUGCAUGGCAAUCCCUACUCACUCACAUUGAUAUCUAUUAAUGGGCAUCUCCAUAGCCCGUUGAUACGCCUAGUUGAUGUGAGACUAUCUUCUCCUUUUUUAUCUUCUCCACAACCACCAUUCUAUUCCACAUAUAGUGUUAUGUCCAUGGCUCACGCUCAUGUAUUGCGUGAAAGUUGAAAGAGUUUGAGAUUAUUAAAGUAUGAAACAAUUGCUUGGCUUGUCAUCAGGGUUAUGCAUGAUUAAAUACUUUGUGUGAUGAAGAUAGAGCAACAGCCAGACUAUAUGAUUUUGUAGGGAUAAAUUUCUUUGGCCAUGUUAUUUUGAGAAGACAUGAUUACUUUGAUUAGUAUGCUUGAAGUAUCACCAUUUUCAUGUUAAUAUGAACUUUUAUUUUGUAUCAUUUGGAUCUGGACAUUCAUGCCACAAUAAAGAAAAUUACAUUGAGAAUUAUGCUAGGUAGCAUUCCACAUCAAAAAUUUCUUUUUUAUCAUUUACCUACUCGAGGACGAGCAGGAAUUAAGCUUGGGGAUGCUUGAUACGUCUCCAAUGUAUCUAUAAUUUUUGAUUGUUCCAUGCUAUUAUAUUACCCAUUUUGGAUGUUUAUGGGCUUUAUUUUAUACAUUUAUAUAAUUUUUGGGACUAACCUACUAACCGGAGGCCCAGCCCGUAUUGCUGUUUUUUUGCCUAUUUCAGUAUUUCGAAAAAAAGGAAUAUCAAACGGAGUCCAAACGGAAUGAAACCUUCGAAGGCGUGAUUUUUGGAACGAAUGUGAUCCAGAGGACUUGGAGUGCAAGUCAAGAAGCAGCCGAGGUGGUCACGAGAUAGGAGGGCCCCCCCCCCCCUAUAGGGUGCGCCCCCCUGUCUCGUGGGCCCCUCGGGCCGCCACCGACGUACUUCUUCCUCCUAUAUAAGCCUGCGUACCCCGAAAACAUCCAGGGAGCACCCGAAACACAAUUUCCACCGCCGUAACAUUCUGUAUCCGCGAGAUCCCAUCUUGGAGCCUUCGCCGGCGCUCCGCCGGAGGGGGAAUCGGCCACGGAGGGCUUCUACAUCAACACCAUAGCCCUUCCGAUGAGUUGUGAGUAGUUUACCACAGACCUACGGGUCCAUAGUUAUUAGCUAGAUGGCUUCUUCUCUCUUUUUGGAUCUCAAUACAAUGUUCUCCCCCUCUCUUGUGGAGAUCUAUUCGAUGUAAUCUCUUUUUGCGGUGUGUUUGUUGAGAUCCAAUGAAUUGUGGGUUUAUGAUCAAGUUUAUCUAUGAAUAAUAUUUGAAUCUUCUCUGAAUUCUUUUAUGUAUGAUUGAGUUAUCUUUGCAAGUCUCUUCGAAUUAUCAGUUUGGUUUGGCCUACUAGAUUGAUCUUUCUUGCCAUGGGAAAAGUGCUUAGCUUUGGGUUUAAUCUUGCAGUGUCCUUACCCAGUGAUACAAAGGGCUGCGAGGCACGUAUUGUAUUGUUGCCACCGAGGAUAAAAAAGAUGGGGUUUAUAUCAUAUUGCAUGAGUUUAUACCUCUACAUCAUGUCAUCUUGCUGAAUGUGUUACUCUGUUCUUUGUGAACUUAAUACUCUACAUGCAGGCAGGAGUCGGUCGAUGUGUGGAGUAAUAGUAGUAGAUGUAGGCAGGAGUCGGUCUACUUGUUGCGGACGUGAUGCCUAUAUACAUGAUCAUGCCUAGAUAAUCUCAUAAUUAUUCGAUUUUCUAUCAAUUGCUCGACAGUAAUUUGUUCACCCACUGUAAUACUUAUGCUAUCUCGAGAGAAGCCUCUAGUGAAACCUAUGGCCCCCGGGUCUAUCUCUUAUCAUAUUUGAUUCCAAUCUACUUUUAUUUGCAUCUUUACUUUCUGCAUCUAUAUUAUAAAAUACCAAAAAUAUAUUUAUCUUAUCAUACUAUCUCUAUUAGAUCUCACUUCCGCAAGUGGCCGUGAAGGGAUUGACAACCCCUUUAUUGCAUUGGUUGCGAGUUCUUUGUUUGUUUGCGUAGGUGCGUGGGACUUCUGAGGAGCCUCCUACUGGAUUGAUACCUUGGUUCUCAAAAACUAAGGAAAAUACUUACGCUACUCUGUUGCAUCACCCUUUCCUCUUCAAGGAAAACCAACGCAAGCUCUAGACGUAGCAAGCGGUACUACCGCUCAACCUCACGGUACUACCGCAAGGGGUAGCGGUGCUACCUCAAAGGGUAGCGGUACUACUGCUUGCGAGCGGUACUAAAAAAUACAUCCGUGCCUACCACCGCUGGACUUGUGACGGGUUUUUGGUUCGGAGCGGUACUACCGCUGUAGUAGCCGCGGUAGUACCGCUCUGGAGUGGUAGUAAAAAAUUACAUCCGCUCCUGUCCGCGGUAGUACCGCUGCAGCCUUUUCAGAACACCAAAACUGCCACAACUUCUGUAAACGGACUCCGAAUUCAACGAAACCAAGUUUGUUGGAAAGCUAGCGACAAGGGCUAACACAAUCUUGAUAGAACUAACAAUAAUAAGGAAAUUAGAAAAGGCUCAAGAGAAAAUGGUGAGAAUCCUUCCUCGAAAAAGACCGGUAAAACCUCCAACACCGAAAACGCGAUAGAAGAAGCAUAUGAAAUCCGUUUUCGAUGUACUAGAGCUUGUCACGAAGAUAACCACAAGCUCUAAAACCUCAAAAGAAAAUACAAAUAAGAAUCAAAAAAGAUAAUACAAGUAAUACAAGGAUGCAAUGGUUUGAGCUCUCGACAAAUGAUACGAUCACGCUACUCACUUGAGAGCCCCCCUUGAUAGUACGGCUAGCGAUCCUAUAACCCGGUCUCCAAACUAUCACCAUGAGACCGGUAAAAUAUAAAACCUAUCAAGGGAAAACCUUUGCCUUGCACAAAGUCCACUUGAGCUAGAUGAUGACGAUCUUGACUCCCUCAAGUUGGACCACCUUUCUUGAUUGUGUUGGGUCGAUGAAGACUAGAUGAUUGCUCCCCCAUACUCCACUAUGGGUGAGCCACUCUUCGGCACAUCUUCACAAGUCCAUUGACACCAUAAUGGACGGCAAGCAUCAAGCACUUGAUCUCUUCGUGAUGCUCCACUUGAACUUGCGCACGACAAUCUUGAUGAUGAUCACCACUUGAUGUCAUCCUCUGCAUUGGUUAGUGAUAUCUUCCUCUUGACGCAAGCCCAUGAACACGUACCUAACUCCACAUGGAACUCUCACAUAGACCAUGGGUUAGUACACAAAACACAAUGGACAAUGCUUACCAUACCAUGAGAUCACUUGAUCCCACUCGGUGUAUCUUCUACGCUUUGUGUGAUGAUCAACUUGAAUCACUCUCUCUACUUAGUCUUGAUUAACCUUGACUCUUUCCAACUCUAUGACCAAUCUUUGGAUAAUUCCUUAAUACCACAUUGGUCAACUCAUAAACUCCUUGAAACCAACACAUGUACUUCAAGAAAUGCCUAUGGACAAAUUCUUCAAAUAUAACUCAAUGUAACCAUUAGUUCAUAGAGAAUGUCAUCAAUUACCAAAACCACACAUGGGGGCACCGCAUGUCCUUUCAACAUGGCAGCACCACGGUCCACGGAGGUCCAAAGUACACAUGACCAUACAUGUUACGUAUGUUCAUAUUACCAUACAUGUUAUGUUUUCACUUUUUGUUUAGAACGGGCUCAGAAAGAGCCCGGCUUUGAAUUAACAAAGCCAUCAACCGGCCAGGAUUACAAGAUCACCAACUUACAAGGAAAAAGAACAAGCGGCUGAUACAAGGAGCAAAGCGAAACACACUCAAAGGCAGCAGCGAUAGCAAGCAGGAACGCCAUGCUGCAGCCAACACCCUAUAGGACAACCUACACCAACCGGACUACUACGAACUUGAGAGGAUGCACCACCGCGCAAGCUUCGUGAUCAUAGCCAAACUCGAAGACAGUAAUGGAUCGACACUCCUCUGGAACUGCCACUGCAAAGGGCCCCUGCCCUCUCAUCCUGGCUCAAUGGAUGUCACACCGGCACGCGGCAGCUCGGUUCACCCUAGAACCCAGAAGGAAGACGUCCAAGCUGCGCAUGGAAGGAACUAGGAGCAGACCUGCAAGCACAGAGCACACCACUCCGAGCACCAUCAUCGUCCGCGGUUAAGCCACACCAAAGGGCUAGAGCUGUCGGCCACAGUCGCAGCAACAAGGGUAACAGCGAGGCCACUGAAGAAAAGGCAGUGAAGCGCAGAGCCAAGCUGCCACCCGCCAUCAUCACACCCACAACCCAACUCUCUUGCCGCCCCUGUGAUCCCCGGACUGCGCCUCCAAGAAGGAACACGACACGGAUGUGUCGUCGCCGCCCGAAUCAGGGGACCUAGGCUUUCACCUAGCAGGGGACGAAAAGAGGGGGAGAAGGAUCGUCACCACAUCCUCCAGGGAGUGGAACGACGCCGAGGGCGUCACCUACGGUGUGGCUGCGUCGGCCAGGGAUUUCCCCCGAAUCCAACCCCACUCGAUGAAAUCCGCGCAGCCAGCGCCCGGGUAGAACGGCAUAAGCCACUAGGACCCGGAUCUGGCGAAGGAAGGAGUAGAUCGGGGCGGAGAGGAUGAGAUGCAUCUGGCGGCGGCAACCGCGCGGGGGAGGCCGCACACCAGCGACCGGGGACCGACGCCUCCUCGUCCCCCGCGAGACCGAGGGAGGCUCCUCACCAACUCCGACAGGAAUGGCCUGCCGCAAGGCCACCCCGCACUCUCCGCCCAAGGUCGCCGCCCCGGAUGCGGAGGCCCACCACGCAAUGUGGAGCUGCCGGAUCCCCCGCCGCCACCUUCAUCGAAGUCGAGCGCAUACCGGCGCACUCCUCUGGCAGAGGCGGCAGUUAGGGUUUCCCCCGAGUCGCCUCAAAGGAGACGACGCGGGGAGGGGGGGGGGGGGCAAAGCCCAUGUUUUCACAUUCCAGGAUCUUAUUGGAGCAUUUCUCAAGUUCGGGGACAACUAUUAUACGCGCCACGGCUAAACCAAGCACACUCAUGGAGAGAACAAAAUUAUGAUUUUCCCAGCCAUGCAGCGAAUGACUACAGACUGGUACCCAUACAAGGAAUUUCAGACAUCCGAGCGAGAACAAGAAAAUCACAUGCAACCGCCAGCACAUUACUUAGAAAAAGCAAUAUUUUAAGGUUUAUAGAGCUGAAAUUGGACUGGUGACAAGAUCAGGAUGAAGCUAUAAGGAUCCAGCGUCUCUUUAUUCCCAUUUACUUAGCGAAACAGUGAAGUACCCAGUUAUAUCAUGACCCCAACAUUCAAACCAACCCCCCUCCCGCUGUAUAUGUUAAUUAAUAGAUUAAGAAUUGCUAACGGUACAAAAACAAUUACUAACUAGUGCAACCACAAGGAAUCGAGCGCUUCUGAGGAUCUACUAUUGUUCAA